CCUACGGGGGGCAGCAGUGGGGAAUAUUGGGCAAUGGGCGCAAGCCUGAACCAGCAACGCCGCGUGAAGGAAGAAGGCUUUCGGGUUGUAAACUUCUUUUCUCAGGGACGAAGAAAGUGACGGUACCGGAGGAAUAAGCCACGGCUAACUACGUGCCAGCAGCCGCGGUAAUACGUAGGUGGCAAGAGUUAUCCGGAUUUAUUGGGUGUACAGGGCGUGUAGGCGGGAGGGCAAGUCAGAUGUGAAAACUCGGGGCUCAACCCUCAGCCUGCAUUUGAAACUGUGUUUCUUGAGUGCUGGAGAGGCAAGCGGAAUUCCGUGUGUAGCGGUGAAAUGCGUAGAUAUACGGAGGAACACCAGUGGCGAAGGCGGAUUGCUGGACAGUAACUGACGCUGAGGCGCGAAAGCGUGGGGAGCAAACAGGAUUAGAUACCCGGGUAGUC
rnacentral:rRNA from 1 species